rnacentral:siRNA from 1 species
GGUAACGUUUAGUAGGGGCACGCU